AAGUCGUAACAAGGUUUCCGUAGGUGAACCUGCGGAAGGAUCAUUACAAAUCCACGUCUCUCUGAGACACGUUGAAAUGUUGGUGUUGGUUGGGCGCUCGAGGGGUGCUGGCGCUAUAGAUUUGUUAAGGGGAGGGUAGGGUAACCUUGGGUCGCUCUCUCUCUUCCUACAUGCCUUGAUGCCCGGCCUCCUGAGCAGCAGCCCUCCUUCACUCUUUGACAAGUGUUUGAUCAGUUGUAUUUUAAAAGUUUUACACAACUUAUAACAAUGGAUCUCUAGGCUCUU
rnacentral:misc_RNA from 1 species